rnacentral:tRNA from 1 species
GGGCGCGUAGCUCAGCUGGUUAGAGCGCCUCACUCACAUUGAGGAGGUCGGGGGUUCAAGUCCCUCCGCGCCCA